rnacentral:rRNA from 1 species
GACGAACGCUGGCGGCGUGCUUAACACAUGCAAGUCGAACGGAAAGGCCCUGCUUGCAGGGUCCUCGAGUGGCGAACGGGUGAGUAACACGUGGGUGCUCUGCCCUCCACUUCUUGAUAAGCCUGGGCGACUGGGUCUAAUCCCGGAUAGCAGCCACUUUUAGUGUGUUGGUUCGAGAGUUUUUUCGGUGUAGGAUGAGCUCGCGGCCUAUCAGCUUGUUGGGGGGGUAAUGGCCUACCAAGGCGGCGAGGGGUAGCCGGCCUGAGAGUGUGGACGGCCACAUUGGGACUGAGAGACGGCCCAGACGGCGAAGGGAGGCAGCAGUGGGGAAGAGUGAACAAGGGGCGCAAGGCUGAUGCAGCGAGGCCGCGGGGGGGAUGACGGCCUUCGGGUGGUAAAAACGCAGCGGGAGGGACGAAGCCUGUUGUGACGGUACCUAGAGAAGAAGCACCGGCUAACUACGUG